AAAGUUAUUUUCAUAUUUGUCCACCUUGACAAAUUGUUAUGGAUAAUGGAUGGAUUUUGCUUUAAGUGAUUAAUGAUUGAAUUUUAAUUUUAAAUAUUUUAGAAUUUUGGAGAUUUUGAGUUUUCACGGGCAUUUACGAAUUUGGUAGGCAUUUGAAUAUUUGGAAUUGACCAUCCGAUUGAGAUUUUCUGUCAAUGUGGUAAUCAUCAGGGUAUAUGGGGUCAUUUGAAAAUGUAUGUAUUUUGUAGAAGUUUGAGGGCAUUUGGGAAUAUAUGAUCCCUUCUGGUUGAUAUUUAUAUUCAACAUGGCCAUCAUCGGGGUGUAUAGGAUCAUUGCAUUUUGUUCAUUGAACGCUGUCGACUCUGUUAGUUGCCGACAUAGGAUCAGGUUCAAGUCGUUUGUAUGCUCUUAUUAAUUAUUUUUUAUUGUUAUAGAUCUUGAAGGCCUAACAUGAACUGUAAAAUAAAUAUUUCAUCCGACAACGUGACCGCGUAUUUAUUUAAUGGUUCGAACCGUGUCGACUCCUAUCUACCUGCAUAGAAGGAUCAGGCUCGAACUUGGGCCUAUCAUUUGACCUGUGGAGCAUUCUUAGAUGUCACGUGUGUACCCGUAACACGCUUGUUGGGGCUCAUGCAGGUUGCGGAUCCGGUGAUGUGGCAUUGCAGCUUGUAAAUGCCUUAUGUCUGUUUGUAUGAGUGUUGCAGAUCCGGUGGCGUGGCAUUGUAGAUUAUAGACGUCUUCUAUCUGCUUUUAUGAGUGUUGCAGAUCUAGUAGCAUUACAUUGCACUACGGUCAUCUGCCCAUUUUGUACAGGUAAUUGCAUUCAGUCCAUUUCUCUUCUACUCGCUCACAGACAAUCCAUUGUAUACACGACGAGUUUUCUACCGUAGCCCGUAAGCAUCCGCAUUUGCUAUGGUCCUUUGGAACUUUACUUGUAAGUGACAUUUGAUGUGUACGACGGGUCUCCUACAAAAGCUCAUAGGAACUUACAUCUGUUGCACAUCUUCCUUCUCUACUUGCAAGGGGUUAAAGUAUUUGCUAGAUAUUUACUUAUGCAAGUUUGAAUGCAUUUAUUUGUGUCUUAGCUGACUAUCAGUGGACAACAUUCAUCAUUGAUUCUUCAUGCACGUCAUAGCAGGUUGUACAUAUGAUGGGUCUCUUGUAGUGACUUGUAAAUAUUUGCACUUACUACAAAUCAACCGCCUCUAUCUGCAAGGUUUUGAUAUAUUUGCUUGACAUUCACUGUUGACUGUAGUAAUGUUGUAGUGUUCACUGCAUGUUGCUAAUUAUCACCUAUAAGUAUACUAUUCUGCAUACGAAAGAUCUUCCAUUAUUGCUUGCAAAUGACAACUCACAUGAGUAUCCCUAUGCACUGGAGACUCAUCAUAUCUGGAUCAAAUCUCUUGUUAUCACUUGUAUGCAAGUCAAUGUGUUCAUCUGUGAUUUGUCAUUGAGUACUAGUUGAGCUACAGUCGUCGUUAGUACCUUCAUACAUAUUAGCCAGCGAAUCAUCAUGUUCCUAAGCAGCUUACGAUGUUCAUUGUUUUUCGACUUCUAGUGUUUGUAGAAAACUACUGUAUUCAUCUUCGAGCUGGUUGUCAUUGAUUGAAGGGAAGCUUUGGUCUUCAUUUCAUAUACUUCAUAGGUUCUUAAUGAAUAUGUUAUCCAUGAUCAAGGUGAUUUGUAUACUCUUAUGUUAUAUGCUCCCUUUAGAUUGAUUGUAGCCUGCUAACAUUAGCUCAUAAGCAUGUGUUUAGCAAUUUUUCAUGAUUCUUCUGAUUACUCAUUGGUCUUCAUAUUGUUUGUUGCCUCUGGAUGGGAUGUAGACUUCUCAUCCACCGUGAGUCAUUAUUUAUAAGCAAGUCGUUACAUCCCCAGUUUGAUUUGUUAAUGCUCAUUUGCUUGAUUAGACUUGUCAUUUGGUUGAAAGAAGUUUAUUUGAAUGCAAUCAUCUUAAGCAAAUUAUAUUGAAGUUCACAAAUCCUUGUUCAUUUAAUUCAAGUUUUGUAGUUUUGUUUGUAGUCAAGUCCCCUGCAGGUAGUUCAAGUUCAAGUUCAAAUCAAGUUCUUCUUGGUUGAGCUUGAUUCAAGUCCUUUGUUGUCCAAAUCAAGCUUGAGUUAAUGUUCAGUUUGUUUCAUUUGAGUUCAAUUCCUGUUCAAGUUUGAGUCCAAGAUCAUUUUUUAGUCUUUUUAUAUUUAUUCAAGUCUAGUCCUCUGCAUUUAGUUUAAUUCAGGUCCUCUGUUCAGUGCAAAUUUCGGCAGUCUUCUGGCGUCUCCCCUUUUUAUGAGAAAUUUCAAGAGUUA